UCGAGCCGAGCCAAAUUUUUUUCGAGCCGAGCCGAGCUGAAUUGGAAACGAGCCGAGCUUUCCUUAACGAGCUUGUCAAUAUUUUAGCUAAUACUCUAAUAUUUUUUCUAUUUAUUUUUGAUACCACUGAUACUUUUGUUUGAGAAUAAGUAAUUUAGACGACAAAUAUGUAUUUGCAAUAUACAGUGUGUCCGUAAUGUAUUAAAUAAAUGGGAUAUUUCCUAAACUAAAAGUCUUUUGAAAAAAAUCUAAAACACGUCGAUUUUUAAUUUUAAUGAUCUACAUUUUACAACCAAAUUUAAUUACACAGAGUGAUACACAUAAAGGUGAUGACGCCAUCGGAUUUUUUGUAAAUAUAACAGCUUCAUACACAAUACCUGCAAAAGGUAAAUAUGUGGGCUAACAAUUAUCGGACCCUACUUUUCAAAGGUAAUUGAAACGAGUCGCAUAACAUCAGUCUUUAACGGGGUAUCUCGCACCUACUUUAAUUUAUUUAUUUCCCAGUAGAAUUAAUCCUGGAGGUUUUGAUGAAAGUGUAUGGUUUCAACAGGAUAUUGCGCCUCCGCAUUAUGCUGUAGAUGUUCCAAGGUACGUAGACGAAAUUUUUCCGAACAGGUGAAUUGGAAGACGUGGGAGUGUGAAAAUUUAAGAUAAAGUCAUGUAUCAAUUACUGGAUUACUUUCAAAUUCUUAGAUUAAUAAUUUAAAAUCAAUAAAAUUUAUUUUCAUAGCGCAUAUCUUUGAAAUUCUGUCCGUUAAAGUAUCAUACCUUUUUAACAUCAGCUCAUUUUUAUCGAUCUAAAAAUGUCACAACGUAGGUACAGAGUGUACAUUUACCUCAUACAUAUCAGCUUAAUGUAUAUCACCCUGUAUAAUCAAAUUUUAUGGUAGAAGGUAGAACAUUAAAAUUAAAACUCCACGAAUUCCAGAUAUUUUUAAAAAGGAUUAAGGAAGUAUCUAAUUUAUUACAUAUUUUACGGACACUCUGUAUAAAUUCCUUUUUAAAUAAUAUUCUUGCAUUUCGAUUAUCCCUAAUAUCGUCACUAAAUAUUUGAAUAGGAUUUAUAAAAUGCAGUUAUGUACUUCCCAUUUUUACUAUAGUUACUCGGAAGAGGUAAAAAUUUUAAUGAACAUAUUUUUUUGUUAUGGUAAAAUGUAAAUAUUCGCAUUCCUAGAAGUUAGUCUUUUUGAUAAACAAAUUCUUAAGAAGGUUACAAGAGGCAGUUUAAGUUUAUGGAGGAUUAUAAAAUUGGGAUUCUACCUCGUACCUCCAUACUUGAAUGGUUUUGGACAUAAUGAUAUGAAUUUAACAAUAAAAAUUUACUGUUAAUCUGUACAGUUGAAUGUUUUAUUGUAACUUAUUUCUCAGUAUAAACUUUGCUAAAUCUGUAAGUAUUAAGAAAAUAAUUCCGAUUUUAAGAAAACUAGCACGUUUGUAUUUUACGGGUAGUAGGAAAGAAAUCUAAUAGUUAUUACAAUCUUUUCAGUCUUGAGAAAGAAGUUGAAGUUGCUGUUCGUCCAUUUCUGUUUAGAAACCUAAUUCCAAAUUUUUCGCGUUUUUAAAAUGUUUAAUUACGAUAGUGAUGAUAGUUUUAUGGACACAAAUCUUCCUUCUCCAAGUCCAAGUGAAAAUAGUGAAGUGUCAAAGUCGACUGAAAGCGUUAGCGGCGAUUAUACUCUUGACGAAACUUCGACAUUUCGGAGCAAGUUUACAUGCUUUUUUGAGUUUAAAAUUAUUGACAAAAUAAACAAAUUAGCGACAUGCAAAUUAUGUAACAAACGAAAAAUUAAAAGUGAGUUUAAAGUAAAACUUUCCGUUACAACUACUUUAAAAAGGCACUUAUUAAGUAAACAUCCAAAGGAAUAAGGUACUAUUUUUCCAAAGCUGUCUCAACCUGGAACUAGCAAAGCUGGACCACUUCAUAAUUUCUUAACAAUUAAGAAAUCCGUGAAUGAACCUAAAGAUCAAAACUUUAUCGUUGAUUGGGUGGCCACUAAAUACCUACCUUUUUAGUUUUUUGACGACGAAGCAACAAGGAACUUCUUCGAUCAAAUCAAACCUGGAAUAAACCUGCCUGGACGAAAAGCUUUAAAGAGAAUGGUUGUGUCCCGUUUUGAACAGGAUCAAAAAAAA
rnacentral:lncRNA from 1 species